rnacentral:rRNA from 1 species
AUGAGUCGACCUGAUGGGAUCAACAUCCCCGACGACAAGUUCUACCUUGGAGAUGCUGGCUAUGCAUGUCGGCCUGGUAUUCUUCCACCCUUCAGGAAAACAAGGUACCAUCGCAAUGAGUUCUCUGGUAGGGACUUUCCUAGGACUGCACAAGAGCUGUUUAAUCUCAGACACUCCAGCCUUAGAGUAACUGUUGAGAGGGCAUUUGGAGCUCUGAAAAAUAGGGUUAAGAUCCUGGAUCAGAAGUCAUUCCACCCAUACUCCACUCAAGUUAAGCUAAUUCUUGCUUGUUGUAUUCUGCAUAACUGGAUCCUUCAGUGGGGCUUUGAUGAACACGUGCUUGAGGAGGAAGAGGUCAAGCCUGACGAUGUUGUUAGCUCUGGCCAUGGUGUGGAGGCAUUUGACAAUGACGCUUGGAAAAACAAAAGGUUGGAGUGGGCAGAGGCAAUGUGGAUUAACAGAGGUCAAUGCAGGAUUUGA